rnacentral:rRNA from 1 species
CAGCCUGAUGCAGCCAUGCCGCGUGUAUGAAGAAGGCCUUCGGGUUGUAAAGUACUUUCAGUCGUGAGGAAGGUAGUGUAGUUAAUAGCUGCAUUAUUUGACGUUAGCGACAGAAGAAGCACCGGCUAACUCCGUGCCAGCAGCCGCGGUAAUACGGAGGGUGCGAGCGUUAAUCGGAAUUACUGGGCGUAAAGCGCAUGCAGGUGGUUUGUUAAGUCAGAUGUGAAAGCCCGGGGCUCAACCUCGGAAUAGCAUUUGAAACUGGCAGACUAGAGUACUGUAGAGGGGGGUAGAAUUUCAGGUGUAGCGGUGAAAUGCGUAGAGAUCUGAAGGAAUACCGGUGGCGAAGGCGGCCCCCUGGACAGAUACUGACACUCAGAUGCGAAAGCGUGGGGAGCAAACAGGAUUAGAUACCCUGGUAGUCCACGCCGUAAACGAUGUCUACUUGGAGGUUGUGGCCUUGAGCCGUGGCUUUCGGAGCUAACGCGUUAAGUAGACCGCCUGGGGAGUACGGUCGCAAGAUUAAAACUCAAAUGAAUUGACGGGGGCCCGCACAAGCGGUGGAGCAUGUGGUUUAAUUCGAUGCAACGCGAAGAACCUUACCUACUCUUGACAUCCAGAGAACUUUCCAGAGAUGGAUUGGUGCCUUCGGGAACUCUGAGACAGGUGCUGCAUGGCUGUCGUCAGCUCGUGUUGUGAAAUGUUGGGUUAAGUCCCGCAACGAGCGCAACCCUUAUCCUUGUUUGCCAGCACUUCGGGUGGGAACUCCAGGGAGACUGCCGGUGAUAAACCGGAGGAAGGUGGGGACGACGUCAAGUCAUCAUGGCCCUUACGAGUAGGGCUACACACGUGCUACAAUGGCGCAUACAGAGGGCGGCC